GAUGAACGCUGGCGGCGUGCCUAAUACAUGCAAGUCGAGCGAACGGACGAGAAGCUUGCUUCUCUGAUGUUAGCGGCGGACGGGUGAGUAACACGUGGAUAACCUACCUAUAAGACUGGGAUAACUUCGGGAAACCGGAGCUAAUACCGGAUAAUAUUUUGAACCGCAUGGUUCAAAAGUGAAAGACGGUCUUGCUGUCACUUAUAGAUGGAUCCGCGCUGCAUUAGCUAGUUGGUAAGGUAACGGCUUACCAAGGCAACGAUGCAUAGCCGACCUGAGAGGGUGAUCGGCCACACGGGAACUGAGACACGGUCCAGACUCCUACGGGAGGCAGCAGUAGGGAAUCUUCCGCAAUGGGCGAAAGCCUGACGGAGCAACGCCGCGUGAGUGAUGAAGGUCUUCGGAUCGUAAAACUCUGUUAUUAGGGAAGAACAUAUGUGUAAGUAACUGUGCACAUCGUGACGGUACCUAAUCAGAAAGCCACGGCUAACUACGUG
rnacentral:rRNA from 1 species